UACAGAGGGUGCAAGCGUUAAUCGGAAUUACUGGGCGUAAAGGGUGUGUAGGUGGUAGUGUAAGUUAGGUGUGAAAUCCUCGGGCUUAACCUGAGAAUUGCGCUUAAUACUGCAUUGCUAGAGUAUUGCAGAGGGUAGUGGAAUUUCCAGUGUAGCGGUGAAAUGCGUAGAUAUUGGAAGGAACACCAGUGGCGAAGGCGACUGCCUGGGCAAAUACUGACACUGAGACACGAAAGCGUGGGUAGCAAACAGG
rnacentral:rRNA from 1 species